ensembl:ncRNA lncRNA:CR45363 long non-coding RNA:CR45363
AAAAAUUGCCAUUUGAAAACAACGAGCAACUCGUUAAAAGUAGUAUUAUUUUCCAUCACAUUUCCUUGAUGGUGCCUGUCGUGUACACCUUAUCCUUUUCUAUUAAUUUCGUCACUUAAUUUCCUUUGUCAUUUUCCAUUUUCUAUGGGCUUUCCGCUCAAUUUGGCAAAAGGACAUACUGCGGAUACUGUAAUUGCUAUAUUUACCCAAACGCAGCUCUAAUGACGCCAACAAGCCAUUGCCAAGUGCAAUUAUCCAAAGGGCCUCAACAUCUGUUGGCCAGAAGUCCGGAUACCGGCGACUAAACUGGCUUAUCACCUUGCCGCCAUCAUUGGAGUGCAGGGAAAUUACUUUCAAUUAUUGGACUGGCUAUCUGCAAGGACCCGCUUACGACCCAAGCAGAUGUUUUCAAUCCUCCGGACAGAGGCAUCAGGCAAGCGAACCGAAAACCUGUAUGGAAUGCAGCUCCAUCAAGCAUCGACCUGAUCUUCCUUCGGCUAACGAACUGAGGCGCAGAGCGAUGAGCGCGCCAAAUCGAGGACGACGCCUGUAACAACAUGAAAAGGACACCCAGACCCAUAAAUAUAUAGUAUCUUCCAAGACGACGACGAUCCCUUUUGAGGACGACAGAUGUUUUCGCUUGGCAUACCGAAGCAGGUCAAUGCCUGCCAUCUUUAAGGAUUCGAUGCGUUGGUCCUGGCUCACAGCUUCUUAGCAAAUAGGAAAGGUAUCUUGAAGAUACAACGAUGCCGGGCGGCAGCUGGCACACUUGGGCGCGGCCUGUUUAUAAAUCGAUCUACUGCUCCUGGACGAGAACCCCAUGCCAUUCCGAAAGUAUCUCGGAUUACAUACCGCGCACUUAUAGAUACAUAUACACAGUAGGCAGUCGCCGACGCGCUCCCUUAAAAUGUUUAUAAAUUAUUUUUUCCUUUGAUGGGCUUGCCAAAAGAUUUUAUUAUGAAAAGUAAAUCAACUCGGAACGCCUGGAAAUUCGAGAGUUUUUCCUAGGGGUAACGGAAACUUUGCAGGAAUUCUCUCCUCUUUUUUAUGAAAAUGUACGUCUUGGCAUUUUGUUUGAUUAAUUAGUUGAAUUGUGAUGGGCAUUCAACAAAACAUUUUUAUGGCAGGUAAAAACGAUCAGUUUUCCGUGCAUGGGGUUGAUUUGAAUUCCCUAAUUUUUGCCGCUUCCCCAUUAAAUUCCCAGAUAUUUCACGCGCAGCACUUCAUUAAUAAUUUUCCGAUAUACAUUUGUAAUUAAAAUAGUUUCUUUUCGUAGUGUCUUAUCGAAGGAUGAUCUUUUAUUCAUAUGUAUAUUUGUCUUACCUCCUCGUAGGUAUUUUCCCUGGAACUGGACUGAGUGCUGCUGGCAAUCGAACGCCGAAACAUUUCGCUGUGGAAACAAGACAAUCAACCAUUGAAACAUUUUCCGCAUUUAUAAUUUGGUGUAACAAAUGAUAUGUAAAUUAUCAACAAGUUUACUUGCAGGAUGCAUCAGAUGAUAUUGUUGAUCAAAAGAUACAAACAUUGUUCUACGAAGAUAUACCUUUCACUUGCCAGUGGCUAACACAAAUUAAACAAUCCGUUCUGCCAUAAUUUACACUGACAAAUUCCAUUUAUUAACAGACACACAAUUAGCCAAACUCUAUAGAUGGAACCUAACACACACAGAGCCUACCCUAGCCCCUCGAAGACCCACGCCAUGGUAUAAUUUAUGAACACUACAAUCGGAUGGAACUUUUCGGAACUCUCAUACCCGAUAAACUAGUUCGAAUAUCAAAAUCCAAGAGCUGCUAAAGUGUCAUACCUUAGUCGCUGGCAAGUGGUGGGCGUGUUGACAGUGAGAUUGGUCCUUGAGUCGCUCAGAUGGGCGAUGGAGUUGCUCAAUGUGUGGUUGCUGUUGCUAUUGCUGGAUUUGCCAUUGUUGAGCUUGGUCGUGUGACCAGUGGCAGGCUUUACUGUGGCCGGCGGGGCGGGCAUCUUGAGACGACUUCGAUCUGUCCAAAUAUGGUUGCGCUCAUUAACCAACAAAGCUUCAGCAAAGCCGAUUGUUAGUGUUAUUUAAACUCGUCAUUUAUUUUCUGUUUGUUUGUUUGAUUGUUACUUUGUUAGACUUGCUGCCCACACGGGAUCUUGGGGAUCUUGGGAUCACGGUAUCUCGGCACACGAGCGACUUGCCCAAUUUGGAGUCUCGCAAUAUCGCAUACCCGCGCCUCGUAUCUUAUUUAUGUGCAUUAACUAAAUGUCGCUAAUUUUUGGUUUAUUUAUUUGCAGCGCUAGACUGUGCCUUUUUUGGCCAAGGAAUGGCUGUCCAGCGCUCCAACAUAAAUCAGCCAAACAAUUCGAUGCCCGAGCGCACGACCCGAACUCUAAUUAACUCGUUGGCGAAGUUGUUGCGUUGCCAAAAAAAGCAGAGUGUCUGCCACCACUUGGGGGAUGCCUUUUAAGGUGUCACACCGCGAUCGUUUUCAAUUAUGACGCAACACACGCGAAAAUCUCAAGAUCACCAUGCUUUUCAGCCGCCGACAGGUGCUUACUUCGACUUCAACUGAUUUCGACUUCAAGUUGGACUUCUUGCUGCGCCGAUUACUGAAACAAAACUGAUUUAUGCCUGUCACAAGGCGAACGGUGCAGCCAAUUGCAGUCGGAGUUGCUGCCAAGUCGGUUCCAGUCCCGAUCCCCUCCUGCUUGCUCCUCUGUGCCCCACCCCGCCACCGACUCCUCCUGCACGACGAGAUUCCCUCGUCGGAGUGGACGACAAUUAGUUCUACAUGUCGUCACACGUCGCAAGCUGCAGGAAGCCACAAGUACACUGGGAGAAAACAGCACAAAAUUUAGCU